rnacentral:lncRNA from 1 species
AGAACGUUAUCGUCCGACACUGGAGAGAAACCAGGUCUUUCCUGCUGACGUCGUAGAAGGAAACAACAGUCAAUUCGAGGAAAGUUUUGCAGGUCACGGCGACUUCAUGUUCGAUCGGUGGUGCUGCCACAAAGGAACAGUGGCACACUCUCCCGGCCGGCAAGAAGCAUCGCCUUCCUGUGAAGGACGCUUUUCGCUGACGACUCGGUGUUUGCGAUGAGGAAGAAGUUGUUUCCGUAAACCGAGACACUCCAGAGCUAAACGAGGGCAUGCGACCCGUCGAGAAACGGCGGGAGCCAUGUCUCCAGGAAAGCAGCUUUCCACGUAUGGGGAAAAAUCCGAGACUUUGCAAAGAGAACGGCGAAGUCGGGCACUCGGCGUGUACCGACCAACCAGGUAGCUCUCAGGAAAAGCCGCGGUGACUUCAGAAAAGCUAGCCGGGACGCUCGCUUGCGGAACGCCUUUAUCCUGCGUCUGUUUUCCACGUCGACGGGGAGAGAAAAAGGUCUGCGAGCAUAGGUUGGCGUUAGUGUCCGCAGCUACCUGUUUUUCUGCGGAGCAUGGACGCCGAGAGUUUAACCACGCGUUCACAUCUCAAACGAUAAAGAAAAAGAGCGUAGUUCAACGCAGAAAUUGGCCACCGGAGACACUUGUUCAGAAAAAACUGCGCAAACGCAUUCGUCUGUUCAGAUCAUCCCGAAGCCUCGAUCAGCUGCGUCGCUCCUCGCAGCCGCCAGCCGUGACGUCUGUAGGCUGCCCACCCGACCACAGAAAGGCAGGAAAGAUCUUGUAGGCCUCUAUGAAUGACAGUCUUUUUCGUAACACUGCGAUUCGGGGGGCGCCUGGGUGCAUCUGGGCAGUGUUGUCAAGGACAUUUGCAGGCUCUGUUUUUCUCUCUCUUCGGUCGUUAACUUGCGAAACAUGUUCCCGGUGUGCCGUCGAAAACAUGGAAGUGAAACGACAGGGGCCAGAACUCCAUUCUUUGUUGACGAACUGACUUCCGAAAUCUUAACAUCAAGUGAGACGAAGAAGUGAGAGCAUCCACCGGACAAGUCCGGCACGACGGCCGUGGAGAUCGGUGCUGUUGUAUCGAUUUGAAGGAGGCGCAGGUACGGUUUCCGCGCGCUGUGUGUGCCUCUUGAGGAACUUGGAAUUUUCGACUACAAGUCUUGUCUCUUACCUCUUUAGGCUUUGCAAUGUAAAACGUUUGAGCGAAGCGAGUGAAAAAUGCACUUUUCUCUCGAAUCUAAUCAAAUCUGAUCUCUGUAGGCCGCUUCCAGUUUCCGAGCAAUGCUGCAAGUCCCAAGCCGGGUUCCUGUCUACGAAGGAUCUGACCGGGACUGACAGAAACUGGUUGUUUUCCUCGUCUCUUUUGAAACUGGAGGUGAAGCACCGCCCGUGGUUGUGUUCUUCUAGUGACUUCAGGAGGUACAAAGAUUGGAAGAAUGGAAAAAAAAACUUCCUCUAUCUCUACUGCACCCACGCAGUUCUUCCCCUGCGGGAACCUUUCCUUUUUGCUCCUUCGUUCUUUCAACUUCGUUCUAAAAAAG